CUAGAGAUAGAUGAUCAGACAUCCUUAGGGAUGUUUACCUCUUACAGUUCUUAUUAUAAAACAACGAAUAUAGCUCAAAGGAAGAGCAAAAUAAAGUGUAUCAGGUUCGAUUCCUGUUUAUUCGUCAAUGCGUGGAGAAAUUCAGGCAAGGUUCUUUGACAUAUUGGAAAUGAGAGAAAAUAAAAGAGCGUAACAAGUAAACAACAAG
rnacentral:misc_RNA from 1 species